ensembl:lncRNA
GUUAUUAUUUCUGUUUAAAAGUAAGGAAAAUGAGGCUGCAAGAGGUUGUGGGUGUAAAAUGCAUGGCAUGGUGCCCUUCCAUGUUGAGUCUGUGGUAGACACUUGCUGUUGUUCCUGUUGCUGCCAGCAGCCUGGGUCCUAGGGGUCUCCGAGCACAGGGUAGAGUAUUUCCUCUGAAUCACGAUGAUGAGGAUGUAAAGACGGCUUGCAUUUACAUAGCCUCUCAAAAUUGACAGAGUCCUUUUCAUUCAUGAGUUACACCAGUUCGUGGAGUUGGCCCUGGAGAAACAGGCCUUAGUUUCCUUAUAGGAGGUUGAUUUUUCUACUUCAAGAAAGAGACGGACUUUCUGUCUCCUUGCAAACAUCCGUGCUUCCAUUGUGUGCCACCCAACAGAGGUGUGGUCAUGGUGCACAGCCCUAGGGAGAGCGCCCCCUAUGUCCUCUUGAUCCUAAUGCCUCCAACUGAUUCCAGACCUAGAGAUUGCAAGAGAGGCAGUGAGUGGUGUGGGGGCCUCUGUGAGACGUUCCAUAUGAGGACAAGGAGGGGCUGGACACAUACCUCCAAAAUGGAACACCUUCCCCACGAACUCCAGCUCCUCAUUCCUGGACUCUAGAGAGUUUCUCAUUUUGUUGCCGUCUCUUUGCCUUCCGCACUGGGUUGAAUGGUGUUCUCCCUCCGCCUCCCACAAAAAGACACAUCUACCAGGAAUCUGUGAAUGUGAACUUAUUUGGAAAAAGCGUCUUUUCAGAAGUCAUUAAGUUAAGGAUCUCAAGAUAAGAUCAUCCUGGAUUAUCCAGAUGGCAAGUGUCCUUAUAAGAGACAGAAGAAGAGGAAGAUAUGGACACACAGAGGAGAGAAGACCAUGUGAGGACAGAGGCAGAGAUUGGAGUGAUGCAACCACAAGCCAAGAAACGCUUGGAGCCACCAGAAGCUGGAAGAGGCGAGGAAGGGUUCUCCCCUGGAGCCUUCGCCAAGAGCCGCCCUGCUGACACCUCGAUUUGGGACUUCUAGCCUCCAGAACUGUGAGAGAAUACAUUUCUGUUGUUUUAAGGCACCAAGGUUGUGGUAAUUUGUUACAUCAGCCCUAGGAAACUCAUACACCAAAACAUACGUGCACACGAUCCUGACGAAAAAAAAAAACGCAGAAAGGAAACUGUAAGUAGGGAGAAAUACUGAGGCGUAGCCCCACCAGGUCUCGAAAUUUAGAUCGUGAAAAAUUCAUGUGCGUAAAACAGCAUUGUCUCCCCUACUUGGGAGAGAGGUCGCUGGAAAGGGUUUCUCCUCUGCUACUCUCCUUUUGCUCCUUCGAAAGGGUCAGGGAGAGGCUGCUGGAUUCACUCAGCUGUUCUAAGCAGUUGUCCCCUUUGUGUUUCUUCCAAACUCAUCCAUUCCUCUCACUCACAGAAGGAACUCGCUGAGCAAAGCCUGACAUUUUCAAGUUCUUGGGUCUGCGCCUGGAAUCAACAACCCUCACCAGGCGGCCUGAACCAACCCCCCAGAUGUCAGCGCAGAACUCCUUCAGCUGCCUGGCUGUGGCUUUUCCUUCCCUCCCCUGAAGACAGUGCGGCGUGUGUCAAGGCUCCAUGUUAACCGAUGAAUGAUCUUAGAGCAGAACCGUGAAUACUGUGUAACCAUGCUGUCAAUAUAGAAACUUCCGCCUGAUACAGUGGGGAGGCUGGGAGCAUGUGCCGUCCAACAUACCAACGAAAUUUAAACUGGACUCCCUCACCAGCUUCAGUUUUAAUAUGAUGAAUAUAUGAGGCAUUACAUGGAAAUAAUAUAUACUUGGUAUAUUUGUACUUCUAAAAUAUUUAAAUAAAGUGUC